ACUGGGACUGAGACACGGCCCAGACUCCUACGGGAGGCAGCAGUGGGGAAUUUUCCGCAAUGGGCGCAAGCCUGACGGAGCAAUACCGCGUGAGGGAGGAAGGCCUUUGGGUUGUAAACCUCUUUUCUUAAGGAAGAAGAUCUGACGGUACUUAAGGAAUCAGCAUCGGCUAACUCCGUGCCAGCAGCCGCGGUAAUACGGAGGAUGCAAGCGUUAUCCGGAAUUAUUGGGCGUAAAGCGUCCGCAGGCGGCAUUAUAAGUCUGCUGUCAAAGACCGCAGCUCAACUGCGGAAAGGCAGUGGAAACUGUAAAGCUAGAGUACGGUAGGGGUAGAGGGAAUUCCCAGUGUAGCGGUGAAAUGCGUAGAUAUUGGGAAGAACACCAGUGGCGAAAGCGCUCUACUGGGCCGUAACUGACGCUCAGGGACGAAAGCUAGGGUAGCGAAAGGGAUUAGAUACCCCUGUAGUCCUAGCUGUAAACGAUGGAUACUAGGCGUAGCUUGUAUCGACCCGAGCUGUGCCGAAGCUAACGCGUUAAGUAUCCCGCCUGGGGAGUACGCACGCAAGUGUGAAACUCAAAGGAAUUGACGGGGGCCCGCACAAGCGGUGGAGUAUGUGGUUUAAUUCGAUGCAACGCGAAGAACCUUACCAGGGCUUGACAUGUCGCGAAUCUAGGGGAAACUUUAGAGUGCCUUCGGGAACGCGAACACAGGUGGUGCAUGGGCUGUCGUCAGCUCGUGUCGUGAGAUGUUGGGUUAAGUCCCGCAACGAGCGCAACCCUCGUCCUUAGUUGCCAGCCUUAAGUGGGGCACUCU
rnacentral:rRNA from 1 species